rnacentral:lncRNA from 1 species
AAAUCUGGUACUUCUCCAUUGAGUUUUGGCGAUUUUGCUGCGAACUCGGCACUGAGUGUGUUGAUACUUGUGACUCGUACUGAGUUUUGGUGAGUUAAGUUGACUCACUAUGAUUGCUUGACUUACUAUUGAGUUUCUACUGGGUCAGUGUGACUCUUUGGGGUUUCUUGCACUAACUGGAGCCUUGUGUUCACUUUUGGUAUUCUUGAACUCCACCCUUCUUUUUGAAAUUUUGAGAUUUCAAACUCUGGUGUAAAGCUCUCAACACUUAUUUUUCUAGUAUUAUCAAAUUAUCUGUUGGUCAAUUCCUGACUUGGUUAUUAAGAUAAGUAAUCUAUCAUUAAUUUUCUUUGUCCAAAAUCUCCUUCGGUUAUUAGGAAUCUGAGGGAGUAACAGAUCAAGGGAGUAACGCUCCUUAAACCUGACAAAUUGAUUUUCAUAUUUCUUGAUAAUUGUUUGACGACUUUAAUCAUCAUUCGGUUGUUAUAGAUUUUGUAUAUUUGCCUUACUUGAAUUGUAUAAUCUGGUUCAUUGUACUAUUGAACUUGUAUGAUAAGUAGGCUUGGAUAUUUUUCUUUAAUCUAUUCUGAUACUUGGACACACUCUGACUUUAUCACAUUACUUGAAUCAUUUACAAUUUGUAUGUUUUAUAAUUUUGUUGUUGUGAUCUUAUCUUUUAAUAUGACUACUGCACAAAAAUUUGAAGUCGAAAUUUGGAAUGGUACUAGGGACUUUGGUCUUUGGAGCCAAAAAAUGAGAGUUCUCCUAUUACAAUAGAGAUGUGAGAUGUGCUGCUGCCUUUGAUGGCAUAUGGGUUAUUGAAAUUAGUGCCUAUAAGAGACAAGAAUUGGAUGAGGUUGCUUGACUUUAUUUUUCUUUACUUAUCUAACAUUAGGAAAGUGGGUGAAACCACCACAGCUCAAACACUUUGGACUAACUUAGAAACACUUUACCUAACUAAGACUAUGUCAAAUAAAUGCUGCCUAUUGAGAAAAUUCUAUAACUUUAUGUUUGACUCUUCCUCUAGCUUAGAAGAAGAUAUUGAUAAUUUCACAAAACUUAUUCAAGAUCUGUCUAUCUGUGAUGAAGAGUUAUUUGAUGACCAAUAAGUUGUUCCUAUGUUAAAUUCAAUAAGUGAACAAUAUAGAGACAUUAAAAAUGCCUUGGAAUGUGGGAGAGAAGACCUUACCAUUGAUAUCAUUAUCUUAGCCUUGAGAAAUAGAGAACUUGAACUAAAAUCUCAGUUCAAAAAUUCUAAAAUUGGAGAAGGGCUCCACAUUAAAGAAAAGCUAGUAUAGAAUAAGACAAAUAAUUUGUGUAAUUACAACUUUUAUAGGAGAGGGAAACCAGAAUAUUAGAUUUAAAGAUAAAAAUAAGUUUUAAAUGAAAUCCAAGAACCAAGUCAAGAAAUGCUAUUAUUGUAGAAAAAACUUGUCACUUCAUAAAAGAUUAUUUUAAGAAAAUAUCUUAUAUGAAGGAUAGGAACAACUUUGAUGGAUCUACAGCAGUCAUGUGCAGAAGUGGAUCUGAUAUACAAGGAAAUGUUCUUGUCAGUACAACCAAAAGAAAUCCAAAAGAAUGGGUUCCAGACUCUGACUAUACUUUCCAUGUGUUCCAUAAAGGAAUGGUUUACUGAAUUUGUUGAUCUCAAUGGGGGACAAGUUCAGAUUAAAAAUGACCAGAGUUGUUAGAUAAAAGGAAUUGGUAAACUUAACCUUUUCUGGAAAAUAAUCAUUCUUGAAUUGAAUGACACUAGAUAUGUGCCUGAACUACAAAAAAAUCUAAUUUCCUUAGGUGGAUUAGAUGAAGAAUAUGACAUAAGAAUUCAUAAAGGUUUUACAAAGCUAAAUCUUGGUGGUAAAGUUAUUCUUUCCUCUCCUAAGAUUAAUGGAAUUUACACCUUAUAGGCUGGACCUUUAGUAGGUCACAACUUGUAGUUGUAAGUUCUAGUACUGAUGUAUCUCUAAUUUGACAUAAGAGACCGGGCCACGUCAAUGAAAAGGGAUUCCUAAUUUUAAACAAACUUAUAUGUUUUGGAAUGAUAAUGUUAAGCUGGAGUUUUGUGAAGACUGUAUUAUUGUAAAACAAAACGAAUUAUCAUUUAAAUCUGGAAUUCAUAAAUCUAGCUCUAUUUUGGAGUAUUUAGAUGUUGAUUUAUGGGGUCCAGCAUUCGUAAAUACAUUAAGGGUGUGUUUAAUUGACAAUAUUUUUCAUGAAAAUGUAUUUUUUCCACCAAAAUUUCUACUUUUGUAUUGUUUGAUUGCCAUUUUUCUAAAGAAAAUAUUUUCCUAUUUUUGGUCAUAUGCUUAUAUAUUCCUCAAAAGCAAGGAAAAUAUUUUCUUUAAAAAGAGUAGGAUUUUACUUUCUAGGGAAUUCACUCUCUCGUCUAUCCACUCUAUCUCGUUUACCCACCAAUAAAAAAUGGACAAGUAUAAUAUUUUCUAGGUUAAAAAUUAAAUCAAUCAAAUACAUUUAAUUGACAAAUUCUAUUGCCUAGAAUUUAUUUUUUUCUCAUACAAAUUUCAUGUUUGCAAUCAAACGCACCCUAAGUAGAUUUAAAUUCUACCUAUUUAUAGUAGAUGAUUUUCAAAGAAAAACAUGGACUUUUCUUUUCAAACACAAAUUUGAUACUUUUCAAAACUUUCACGUAAUGGAAAUUGAUUAUUAAAAAUCAAACUAACAAAAGAGUCAAUGCACUUAGAACAGACUAUGGCCUUGAAUUCCGUAAUUUUGAAUUUGAUUCAUUUUGUAAAGAAUUUAGAAUUCUAAGGCACAGAAUUGUGACAUAAUCCCCUUAGCAAAAUGAAGUGGCUGAGAUGAUGAAUAGAACUUUAUUGGAUAAAGUCAGGUGCAUGUUACUUACUUCUGGUCUCCCUAAAUUUUUUUGGGGUGAAGCUUAAAAAUUGCUACUUAUCAUAUAAAUGGAUGUCCAUCCAGUGCUAUUGAUUUUCAAGUCCUUGAAAAUUGUGAUAUGGUAAGACAUCAGGUUAUACUAAAUUGAAAGUUUUUGGUUGCACUGCCUGCUCUCAUCAAAGUGAAGGCAAGCAUAAAUCUAGAUCUAUAAAUUUAUUUAUUUAUUUAUUUACAAUGGAGAGGAAACCAAAUGUUAUAGACUAUGGGUAAAGAGUCGAAAUGGGUUCAAGGUCAUUAUCAGUAAAAAUGUCAUUUUUAAUGUAAAUGAUCCCCCUUGUAAUACUUCACCAAAGUUGAAACCUCCUGGAACAGCCCUUGUUAAUGAAAUUGUAUUGAAAAAUCAAGGAGAAAUCCCUACCGAUUCCAAUGAUUUGAUUGAGGUGGAAUCUACUCAAUUUGAAAUAAAUUCUAAGUAAAUUGAAUUUGAAAAUGAAGUAGAAUCUCAAGAUACUUCUCUUGCAGACUAUCAACUUACUAGAGAUAAGAAUAUAAGGAAUAGAUUCCUUCUGUUAGAAUUAGUAAUGAUGAUUUUGUAAGUCUAUUUUUUGCACUUGAUUUCCUAAAUUCUAAAUCAAGUACCUUUGAAGAGGCCACUAACUAUUCUAAAUCAACCAUUUAGAAAAAAGCCAUGAAAGAUGAAAUGGAUUCUUUGAUUAAAAACAAAACUUGGAUUUCGGUUGAUAAACCUACAAACCAAAAGGCAGUUGAUUGUAAAUGGAUUUUUCAAAUAAAAGAAGGAGAUUUUAAUGUAAAUAAUAGAAGAUACAAAACAAGACUUGCGGCUAAAGGGUUUUCCCAAAUAGAAGGAAUUGAUUAUAAUGAAAUAUUUUCCCCACUUGCUAAAUACAUCUCGAUUAGAGUUUUGCUAGCUUUGACUGCUCAUUUUAACUGGAAGUUGAAUCAACUUAAUUUCAAAACUGUUUUUCUUAAUGGUGACAUUGAUGAAGAAAUUUAUACAAGUCAAUCAAAGGGGAUUGAAGUAAGUUCAAAAUCUAAAAAGGUAUGCAUGUUUAAGAAGUUUCUUUAUGGCAUGAAACAAGCCCCAAAACAGUGGUAUAAGAAAUUUAAAUCAUAUGUUCAAGGUUUGAUUAAGAGCAAUUUUAAUUCAUAUUUCAAAGGGUCAAAAGGACCUCAAUCUGUGUAUUUAUUACUAUAUAUUGAUGACAUAUCAAUUGCUUGCCAUGAUAGAUCUAAAAUAGAUUCAAUUAAGUCAAAAUUGAAAUCUGAAUUUAAAAUGAAAGAUCUAGGACAAGCUAAAAGAAUUCUUGGGAUGAAGAUAAAAAUGGAUAGGAACAAUUGCAUUCUAUAUUUGAACCAAUGCUCUUAUGUGCUUAAAAUACUUGAAAAGUUUGCCAAGCUUGAAUGUAAAUCUGUUUCAUUGCCUAUUGCUAAUCAUUUCAAAUUGUCAAAUGAACAGUCAUCUAAAACUGAGGAUGAAUUUGUAAGAAUGAAAAAUAUACCUUAUGCUAAUGAUAUACGGUCUAUUAUGUUUCUUAUGAUGAGCACUAGACCUAAUUUAGCUUAUGACAUAAGCAUUCUUAGAAAAUUUAUGGUAAACCUAGUUGAAACACACUGGCUAGCCAAUAAAUGGAUGCUAAGCUAUUUGAAAGGUUCAUCUGACUUAGGUCUAAAAUUUAAAAGAUGCAAUGAGAGCAUAACUCUUAAAAGAUACACUGAUUCUAAUUUUGCUGGAGAUUUAGAUAAAAGAAGAUCCACAUCCUAUAUUUUUACUUUGUGUGAUGUUGUGUCGGUUGGAAAUCUUGAUUACAAAAACUUGUAGCCCUAUUUUCCAUAGAGGCAGAAUAUAUUGCUACCUGUGAUACUGUGAAAAAAGAUCUUUGGUUAAGGGGUUUGUUAAAUGAAAUUGGGUUCAAAAGUGAAAUGGUUAGAACUAUACUGAUAAUCAAAGUGCUAUUCAUUUAAGCAAAAAUCAUAAGAACAAAACAUGUUAAUAUAAAGUUUCAAUUUGUGAGGAAUAUGGUUGAGAAAAAUCUAUUUAGUCUUGUAAAAAUCCCUAUUGAGUACAAUCCUUUUAAUCUUGGAAUCAAAGUACUGCAUUUAAGUAAUUUUAAAACCUGCUCGAAGAUUAUAAAUAGCACUUAAAAUGUGUGAAUUUAGAAUAUCAAGCUGUAACGUUUUAAUUCUUUACUAAAUUUGGUUAUUUUCUAUUUACAGGUAAAUAAGAGCAAAUGAAACAAAGUAAUUUCUGGGUUCAGUAGUUCAUAACAAGCAUAGUUCAACAAGGUAGAGAUUGCUGAAUUUGGAUUGCCUCACUAUUAUUGGCAUUGGGCUAUCAUAUUUGUAAUUGGGUUGCUAAAAUUGGACUUCUGGGUUUUGAUAAAUCGUAUCUUAUAAUGCGGCUUUGCCUCUCUUUAUUGAUGAGAUCUAGCUCUACACGUGGCUAUUUCUCAAUUGUUGGAUUUGAAUAAUUCUUGGGUGACUUUUUAAAUAUAAAAAUGCGUUCAUUUGAGUAGUUGGAUUAGUGCGGUUUUGUGCAUUUUGAUUUUGGGUUUCUCUCUGGUUUUUGUUACUUCUUCUUCUUUGUGAUUCAAUCUCUAUUUUUUUUGUGAAGGAUUCUUGAUUGUAUUUAGUGUACAAAUUGUGAGAUUGUAAGGAGUAUAGUUUGUUAUAAUAUAGAGAUGCGAGAGAAAAGAUGCAGUGAAG